rnacentral:lncRNA from 1 species
UUCUAGAUCUGAUAGCAAUAUAUGAAGGAUCACACUCUCUAUUUUCUGAAACCAUCUGCGUGCACUUCAAUUGCAGGAUAUAUGAUCGUCUAUGGAAUCAAUUAGAGUUAAUUGGAAAUGAGCAAGUUGUGCUGAUGUAGGAGUCACUGCAUACUCUAUAUGUAGAUACAUUCAUACGUAAAGAAAAAGAGAUAAAAGUAUAUGGUUGGCUAUAAUAUGGAAAGUUUAAAAAGUUAAAAUCCACAAAGCAUAAAGUAUAAAUAUGGAAUCUGGAAGCACUGAAAAAGCAUUGUAUUGAAUCUGGAUACUAUGUAGAGAGAAAAAUAAACACAAGAUACGAUCAUAAUGUUAAUAGACUACUGGUGUUGAUUCUAAGGUAAAAACAAAUUUUUC